GAAGCAGGAUCCAGGCUCCGAGCUGUCAGCACAGGGCCCGACGCGGGACUCGAACCCAUGAACUGUGAGAUCAUGACCUGAGCCCAAGUCGGAUGCUUGACCGACUGAGCCACCCGGGCAGCCCGGUAAGGCCUUGUGAUGGGCAGCUUAUCCAGGCUCUCGUGUGGAGAGAGUCCUGGGAGGAUUCUUAGACCCACGUCCGUGCUUUAGAGGAGAAACCAGAGCCAUGGAACGUUGGCUGCAAGUAGGGGAGGUCCCUGGCAAGCCCGGGGUGUGUGUGAUGCUAAAAACCAUGAUCAGUAGCUGAGUAUUCAACACCCACCAAUUCACUUUCAUCAGCUGUCCACCUGCCGGUAGAAUCAUCAUCCAACCAUCCAUCCGUCCACUGUCCACUCCUCCAGCAUCCAUCUCCCAAUUCCCUCAUUCCCCCCUCUCCCCAUUCGCUCACUUCCCCCCAGUCCUGUCGCCCCCCCCCAUCCCUCACCACUGACUCUGCACCUGGUCCGGUGCUGGAUGCUCAGUGUGCAACGAGUAAGACUGUGAUCUCCCUUCAAACCCAGUGAGGCAGGCAGACGCUUCGUCUACGCGAGGGAGGUGAAUGUGGUGGUGGAGGGUUCUAGGGGGUCUGAGAUUUCAGACCUGGAAGGCCUAGACAGGCAUCAGAGUUAGUCCCGCGAUGCUAAGUCUGGGAAACCGAGGUCUAGAGAGGAGAUAAGACAUGCCAAGUCACAGAGUCAUGGGGGGGCGGGGGUGAGCUCAGGUCUCACUCCCAUUUCUCUGUUCUUUCCGCCAGACUCUAGGCCCCACUUCCCCAUCCAUACUCAGCAACACUGGAGGCCAGACGCUCUCAACCCCUUAGUGCCUGGCACGGCCCUGGGCCUGGGGAAGGGGACCUUCCCUGUUGCCACGGCACACCUGCGCUGUCCCCACGGACAAUCAGAUUGGUAGAGCUUUCUCGUGCUCUUCCCAUCGUCCCACGGAAAACCCACCACAGUUCCGGAGGACUGGCAUCACCACCCCUUUUUACAGAAAAGGGGGCUCAGAGGGGGGAAGGGGCCUGCCUAGAGUCACACAGCUCGAGUGCAGCGGAGCCAGCAUCCUGACUCACCAUUCUGAACCUGAUCUGAGACACCAGGCGGCACCUCACAUAGCCUUGAAUGUUCUGGCCCCAGGCCGAUGUUGCGCCAUUGAAGUCAGGGGCUGCUGACAGGUAGGUUCGGCAGGGACGGGAAGGUUGGGGGAAGGACCCUGAAAAGGAAACCCCGGAGAUUGUUUUCACCUGGAAGGGCUCCGCCCCGCCCAGCAAUGGAAAAUGUGUGUCAGAGGAAGCCGCUGGCUGGGGAUGGGACAGAUGGGCCGACUGUCCUAUGAAAGCUGGUCCCCACGCCCUACCUCCCAGAUCCCCUUGGCCAAUUCGCUCUGCUCGGUAGUUACCGCAGCAAGCAUUUAUUGAGCACCUGCUGCAUGCUCAGAUGCAGGGAUGCAGGAUGGCCUCUUCCCUGCCCAGAGACGUGCACAACCUGGUGAAGACAGAAAUAUGACGAGACAGGGCCAUUGUGACAAGGUACCACAAAGCCGGGGUUAAGAUAACGCGGACUUAUUCACCCUCUGUUCUGGAGGUUCGAGGAUUGAAAUCGAGGUACCAUCAGGGUCACCUUGUCUAAGACUCUGGGUAGAAAACUUCCUUGCCUCCACCUAGCUUCUGGUGGCCAUCAGUCGGUGGCAUUCCGUGGUGGUCAGCUCUAUCACCCCCAUCUCUGCCUCUGUCAACAACAGUGUUCCCCUUGUGUGGUUCCCUCCUCUUCUUAGGAGGAUACCAGUCAGAUUGGACUAAGGGCCAACCCCGCUCCAAUACGACCUCAUCUUAAGUAAUUACAUCUGCAGCAACCUUCUUCCGAAAUAAGAUCACAUUCUGGGGUGCUGAGAGUUGAGGCUUCAACAUAACUUUUGGGGGGACGUAACCCAACCUAUAACAGAUGUCCUUAAAGUGCUUGUCAUAUAGUUAAAUAUCAAAUCUGGGGGACAAAAAUCCUAUGCACAUCUCACGUCACAGUUUGAGAUUUAGGAAAUCUGGCCUCGGCAUGUCUGUCCCGCACACUAAUACUUUGCCCUAGUGAAUACUAAAUAAAUGUUUGGGAAAUACUUGACUUGUGGUCCCCUAAGGCUCCCAGGUCUUUCCUUAACAAGUUAGAGAAAUAGAAUAAAAGUCCCCAGAGAACAAAGUCAAGCUGCCCUCUGUCCUGGAUUCCUGGCAGGCAGCAGCCCCACUGACCUGGGCACCCCCUUCCCUGCCUGCCUGGGCACCAGCUUGGGGAAAUAGCCAGUCAUGAGAAGGAUGGAAGGAGAGGCCUCAGCUCCCUUCCUCUCCGGAUUAAGCAGACUCACUGUUCUCAGUCCUCUCCCUUGCUUCCCUAUCCAAAGAGGCUCAGACUACUCCAUCGAGACAAGUAUCCCUGCGUUACUCUUGCUUCCCUGGCCCGGUUCAGGCCUUUCCCUUCACCACUGGGACUAUUGUCCCCGGUCUUCGAACUGAUUUCUCUGCUGCCAGCACCAAUUGGGUCAUCCUAAAUAUGAAUCUGAUGACUUCUCUCACUGCUCUGAAACCUUCAGUGGCUCCCUAUUGCUCUCAGAACAAAGUCCGGAUGAUUUCCUAGCUUACCAUUUCAGACUUUGGACAUGUUGGUCCCCAGGUAGCCAUCCAGGCUCGUUCUUCACUAUCUCCCUAAGUGUGCACUAUCCUACAGGCAGGGGAGGUUCCAGAAUUUCCAUCUAAAAGAGACGGGGGAGGGGGGGUCGCAUUCUGGUUGGCAGGGGACACCAUGGAGGCUUGUCUUUAUAAGCAGGAAUGCCAGAGCAUGACAGUGCUUUCCUGUUUUUGGCAUCUGCUCCUUGGGGUACACUGUCCCCUCUACAGGGAAUCAUCUCCCUACAUCCCAGUUUUUCACCAUGUGACUCAAAGGACCUCUUCACCCUGAUCACAUAACCAAAAGGACUUCUCCCCGAUCUGCAUACAGGGUAUUUUGGUAGAACUUCAUUAUGAAGUUUAUUCCAGUGCACCUUGUCCUGGCCACAGGUUGCUCCUCCCUUCCCUUAGAGCUAGGUUCUAGCCCCAGGCCUGGGGCUGAACAGAAGGAAGGGCAGGUGAGAAAAAUGCCAGGGUAGAGACCUGGCUGCUGAAACACUUUGUCAGUGUUUGGCUGCAUGACCGUAGGCCAGUCACCUCCCUUCCCUGGGUCCUUCUCCGGUCCUUCUCUGUAGGGUGGGGGGUGGGGAGAGGCAUUCAAGGAGGGUGAAAGCAUGAGCUAAGUUUCUCCCUCCACCCCAGGUCUGACCAGACCUCGGUUCUAUGAACAGAAGCUUUUGGGGGUCCUUUAUUUUGUAUUAAUUUACAUAUAUUUGCAUACGUGCUAUAA